GUGCCUGUCAAUGCUGACUUUCAAGCAUGUCUGUUACUCUGUUGCUGAGUAGAUGCUGUAAAUGGACAGGUCAUGACAAAUUGAAGGCAUUGAAAGAGUAGUUGAGUCACUCACUCUUAAGUGUGGUACGGAUGCUUGCUUGCUUACAUCCAUUCAUAGAAAACUGGAACAAAGUCAUAAAGAAACUGAAAACAACGUUUCUGGAAUGUCCUGAACUUUCAGCAAAAGCAACCAGCGAAAGCUGAGACUCUCCCAACUACUUGUCUCCAGGAGAUUUAAGAAAAACACCAUGAAACUUGUAAUAAAACUAUGCAAGUUGGCAAUGCUGGAUAAUAUUCUCAUAGAAGAUGUAUCUAAAUUUGAGUUUGAAGAAGCAAUUACCAAGAGGUGGUUGGGAGGCUGAGUCAAAUAAGGAAGCCACUGUGAAACUGGGGGAUGACACUAGCAUCUCAGUGUUCAUGCAUUAAGAGCAUGUCGGGCAAAUUGAGAAAUGCAGCUCCUUCAAGUGGAAGAGGAAGAGAGAAGGAGUUUGAGAGCAGCCCCUCUCAACCAGAUGUCUGGGGCUCACGGGAGAGCCAUGAGUAGGUUUCAGGAGAUCAGUCAAAAUACCCAGAGAUCAGGGCCAAUGUUAGACUCGCUGAGGCCAGGGCAGAAAGCCAAAGACUGGGCUCCACCACCUGGGGCUGAAGCCAAAGCCCACACAAGUUAGCUUCACAGGGGCCCUGGGCAGUUGCCCUGCUUGCUACCUCCUAAUGCUAGCCCUGGCUUUUAAUCUACUGGAUAUGCAGAAAAAUAGCUGUAGCGCAGGUGGGCCACGGAAUUUUUAUAGCAUGUUGGGGGGGACAUCAGAAAUAAAAAGGUUGAGCACCCCUGUCCUAGAGCCUGAGAUGUCUUUUGACUCUUCAAAUCAAAUUUUCUCUGUGGCAUUCAAUA